UACGAAGGGGGCUAGCGUUGCUCGGAAUUACUGGGCGUAAAGCGCACGUAGGCGGUCUUUUAAGUCGGAGGUGAAAUCCUGGAGCUCAACUCCAGAACUGCCUUCGAUACUGGAAGACUUGAGUCCGGGAGAGGUGAGUGGAACUGCGAGUGUAGAGGUGAAAUUCGUAGAUAUUCGGAAGAACACCAGUGGCGAAGGCGACUUACUGGACACAUACUGACGCUGAGGUGCGAAAGCGUAGGGAGCAAACAGG
rnacentral:rRNA from 1 species